AGUUGUUUUGGGACUACUAUUCCCAUCAUCCCUGACCACUGGUCCUGUUAGCUAGGGGUGAUGGGAAUUGUAGUCCCAAAACAGCA